rnacentral:rRNA from 1 species
GACGAACCGAGCGAACGUUAUUCGGAAUCACUGGGCUUAAAGGGCGCGUAGGCGGGCGAUCAAGUCAGGGGUGAAAGCCCCCAGCUCAACUGGGGAAGUGCCUCUGAUACUGGUCGUCUCGAGGGGGAUAGGGGCGUGCGGAACUUCCGGUGGAGCGGUGAAAUGCGUAGAUAUCGGAAGGAACACCGGUGGCGAAAGCGGCGCGCUGGAUCCCUUCUGACGCUGAGGCGCGAAAGCCAGGGGAGCGAACAGG